GGGAGAGCCGUGAGGGGACGGCUGUGAUGGGAGAACCGUGAGGGGAGAGCUGUGAAGGGAGGGCUGUGAGGGGAGAGCCGUGAGGGGCGGCAGGCGCGGCCCGCUCGGGGCCGGGGCAGGAAUGUCCCGCUGCCCUCGCCAUUGGCUGCGGGCUGCCGGAGUCAGCUUUCACGGGGGCCGAUCAAAAAGUUCCCCUCGGCUCUGCGAAGUCGCUGUCUGAGCAGAGGCAUUGGCUGAGGGAGGCCGGGCGCUCUCGCAUUCCUCGGGAGAUCGCCUGCAGUGGGAUGAGAGCGCUGCUGGCUGCCGGCAGAGCCGGGCGAGGACGGGCGCUGCGGAGCCGCGCUCCUGCUUUCCUGCAGCCCGGGCCGAGCAGCCAUCCCUUCUGGCAUGCUCCUCAUCCCUGAGCACACGAUGUCUCAGUACUCCACCAACUUCCUGCUGCUGCCCAUCCCGGAGUACCCCGCGCUGGACUGCGCGCCCAACAAAAUCAUCAAGCUGGUGGUGCUGGGCGGCAGCGGCGUGGGCAAGACAGCCCUGGUCGUGCGCUUCCUCACUAAGAGAUUUAUUGGGGACUACGAAGCCAACACUGGUGCUUUGUAUUCCAGGAAGUUCACCAUAGAUGGGGAGCAGAUCUCUCUGCAGGUGCAGGACACUCCCUUUGUCUCAUUGGAGGAUGACACGGACAGCAUCUGCUGCCAGGAGCAGAUAAACCGCUCCAUCUACUGGGCCGACGGCUUCGUCUUCGUGUUCUCCAUCACGGACUACGAGAGCUUCCGCCUGCUGCGCCCGCUGCACCAGCACAUCCGCAGGAUCCACCCCAACGCCAACAUCCCCCUGCUGCUCAUGGCCAACAAGGGCGACCUGCUGAGGGCCAGGCAGGUGUCCUCCAAGGAGGGGCUGCAGCUGGCCAGCGAGCUGGGCGGCACCUACUGCGAGGUGUCGGCGCGGGAGAGCUGCGAGGGCGUGCUCGAGGCCUUCCAGCAGCUGUGCCAGGAGCUCAGCAGGAGCAGCUCCAGCUGCAACGGGGAGAAGAGGAGAGGUCUCCACCUGGUGAGGCCCAAGUCGCCCAACAUGCAGGACUUGAAGAGGCGUUUGAAGCAGGCUCUGACUUCCAAAGGCAAAUCUGCCACCACGCUUUGAUGUUCCUGCUCAGGGAUUGUGUUCUGGAGCCCUGCCUAAAAGGGCAGCAAGCUGGGAAAAGGGGCAUCAGUUCAGCCAUCAGGAUGUGUGAGAGACCCUCAGUCCUGUGAGAGACCCUCAGGUCCUGUGAGAGACUCUCAGUCCUGUGAGAGACCCUCAGUCCUGUGAGAGUCCCUCAGUCCUGUGAGAGUCCCUCAGUCCUGUGAGAGACCCUCAGUCCUGUGAGAGUCCCUCAGUCCUGUGAGAGACCCUCAGUCCUGUGAGAGACUCCCAGUCCUGUGAGAGACUCUCAGUCCUGUGAGAGACCCUCAGGUCCUGUGAGAGACCCUCAGUCCUGUGAGAGACCCUCAGUCCUGUGAGAGACCCUCAGUCCUGUGAGAGACUCUCAGUCCUGUGAGAGACCCUCAGUCCUGUGAGAGACCCUCAGGUCCUGUGAGAGUCCCUCAGUCCUGUGAGAGACCCUCAGUCCUGUGAGAGACUCACCAGUCCUGUGAGAGACUCUCAGUCCUGUAGAGACCCUCAGGUCCUGUUGAGACCCUCAAGGCACCUGUGAGAGAGCCUCAGUUCCUGUGAGAGACCUCAGGUCCUGUGAGAGUCCCUCAGUCCUGAGAGAGACUCUCAGUCCUGUGAGAGUCCCUCAGUCCUGUGAGAGACCCUCAGUCCUGUGAGAGACCCUCAGGUCCUGUGAGAGACCCUCAGUCCUGUGAGAGUCCCUCAGUCCUGUGAGAGACCCUCAGUCCUGUGAGAGACCCUCAGGUCCUGUGAGAGACCCUCAGUCCUGUGAGAGACUCUCAGUCCUGUGAGAAACCCUUCGUUUGGUUUUCACAUCAUCCUCAAAAAGCCCCUGCUCAUUCAGCAAAGGAACUCACAGAGUUUGCUCUCUGAAGCAAGGAUUUCCAAACCGUGGUUUAAAAAAAGAAAUCGUCCCAAAUUCAUUCUAUCUUUUUAUUUCUUUUUGGAAAAGGAUGCAGUCAAAUAUCUUGGUGUUAAAAAGUGGGUUUUGUUAAUGAGAAUAAUGAAAUCCUACUUUUAAGAGAUGUGACUUCUCUUGGGGAUGGCUGUGUUCCCAAACACAGGCAGUGAACUUCAGCAGGGCAUGAGGAGAGUGAUGGGAGCUCUACUGAGCAAGAAAAAUGGACCAGAUCUGCUUCAGUGCAAGAGUGGAAAAUAAAUGAAUUAAUUCAUUUAAAUGAAGAGCAUAAAUAAUGAAAAAUAUUAAUUGAAAGAGUUCUGAGCAAUGGGAAGAAAUUUGUUCAUAUGCAAACUUAAGCCUUAUGUUUGUCUCUUUAAAUGGAGAUUUUUUUAAAAAAUCACUAUUUUUUCAGAUUAUUUUUGUUUAAAAGCACAGUGUCUGCUUCUGAAAGUGAAAAUUUGGAGCAGCAUUCUGUAUUUCCAAUGUCACAAUGUCCAGUAGCUUCUCCAUGGCAUUUCUCAUUUUUAGGAAGGUUUCUUACAUGGCAAAAGGGAAAAAUAGAUCAGAGUGGUUUAAAACCUGCCAGAAAAUGGGCUUCACUCAAGAGCAAGGAGGUCACCUAAAACUUUUAAUUUUUCUUUUCCCCAAACUAGUUAGACUUCAAGUUCAAAACAAAGCCUUCACACAAAACAUAUUUACACCAUUAGGUUAUCCUGGGGUUUUUUAAGAAGAAAAGGCUUUAUGAUGCCUGAAAUGUUUGGCUUUGGGAAUUCAUUAUUUUGUUGUUUGAGUGUUUGUUGUUGAACUCUGUCCCUGAGCAGCUCCCAGAGCAUCCCAGCUGUCAGGACAAACCCCAGGGGCAGCCUCUGGUUGUGCCUCAGCACGUCCAAGGAUUUGGGGCAGCAUCCCAGGAACUGAUUGAUGGAACCAAAACCAGCCCAGGGAGCUGCCAGCACUCUGCUCUCACUGAGGUGGGCAGCAACAGGCUUGGAGCAUGAAAAAUUCCUGCUGCUCCAACCUCUCCUUCAAAGAGAGCAGAUGAGCAAUUCAAGGAGCAUGAAAUGAAGUCAAGCUCAGUGAUUUAUACUCAGGGACACUGGAGGGAAACCCGAGUUUGAUGGAUAUGGAAAAACACUCCCAGCUGCAGCUUCAUCUGGCAAGACUGAGCUAAAUCAACCUUUUCCUCAUUAGGAGCAGCAAAAAUGCAAAUGGAGUCUGAUGAGUAUUUGUAUAGCUCAGGGCUUUAAAAUGUACUUUGUAUUUUUCAUUUCCCUAUAUUAGACAGUUCUAGCCAUGAUUUUAUCACCUGGAUUUGCCUUAUCUCCAGCUCACUUUCUGUUUUAUUUAUUGUUUUCCACAGCUGCUCAUCAGAGAAUGUCUUGUGCUCUGAUUCAUUUAAGAGUUUUUCAUUCCCACAAAUGCUCUGCACCUGGUUUUAAAUUCAGUUUCAAGUGGGAUUAGGAGGGGAAAAGUUGGAUCAUCCAAAAAGGGACUCAAAUUAUAUCAGGGAAUUUUUACUUUGGCUUGUGCUUAAUUAAAAAUUUGGUGUUUGAGCAGUGUCAUUAAUCAUCCCAGGCACUCUGGUAUUUAUGGCAUGGAAUGUCAAUAUUUUAAAUUAAUAAUAGCACUGCUCAAAUAUUGAAUGUGAAAUUCAAUAACUCAAAUAUUGAAUCUAGAGAUUCAAUGGCUCAAAUAUUGAGUCUAAAGUUUCAAUAACAAGAAAUAGAACAGUUUGCAAGACACAUAGAAAUGGAAGUAUUUUUGUGUUGGAAAAAUGAUCACCCAUUUUGAAUAGCAAUUAACAAUUUUGCCACUCCAGUACUGCAUAACAAGGGCUAAAUUUGCUGAAGACAUUUUGCUGACAUUGAUUUGUUUGCAAUUCCUUCAGCUCAAAUCCUUUCUAAUUUGGGAAGAAAUGUCACCAAAAUUCAAACCUGUCAAUAUUUUAGUUUCAUUAGUGAUUAAUAAAAACAUGCAAGG